UACGGGGGGGGCAAGCGUUGUUCGGAAUUACUGGGCGUAAAGGGCUCGUAGGCGGCCAACUAAGUCAGACGUGAAAUCCCUCGGCUUAACCGGGGAACUGCGUCUGAUACUGGAUGGCUUGAAUCCGGGAGAGGGAUGCGGAAUUCCAGGUGUAGCGGUGAAAUGCGUAGAUAUCUGGAGGAACACCGGUGGCGAAGGCGACAUCCUGGACCGGUAUUGACGCUGAGGCGCGAAAGCUAGGGGAGCAAACGGG
rnacentral:rRNA from 1 species